AACGAACGCUGGCGGCAUGCCUAACACAUGCAAGUCGAACGAGACCUUCGGGUCUAGUGGCGCACGGGUGCGUAACGCGUGGGAACCUGCCCUUAUGUUCGGAAUAACUCCCCGAAAGGGGUGCUAAUACCGGAUAAUGUCUUCGGACCAAAGAUUUAUCGCCUUUGGAUGGGCCCGCGUUGGAUUAGCUAGUUGGUAGGGUAAAAGCAUACCAAGGCGACGAUCCAUAGAUGGUCUGAGAGGAUGAUCAGCCACACUGGGACUGAGACACGGCCCAGACUCCUACGGGAGGCAGCAGUGGGGAAUAUUGGAAAAUGGGCGAAAGCCUGAUCCAGCAAUGCCGCGUGAGUGAUGAAGGCCUUAGGGUUGUAAAGCUCUUUUACCCGGGAUGAUAAUGACAGUACCGGGAGAAUAAGCACCGGCUAACUCCGUG
rnacentral:rRNA from 1 species